CCGACAAAAUUUGUGAUAUCUGAGAAAACAAUGGAACCAUAUCUUCUUCUUCCUUAGCAUCUCCGCCCAGCUGUAUUUUUUAAAGUCAGAUAAAGCAAUCGAACUGUUAUUAUGUUCUAAUUUCAAUUUUCAGUACAAUAGACAUAGAGAGCUUCGAUUUCAUCAGAUCCUAAUCAAGAAUUCAAAUCUAAUCAAAUUUUGGAAAUGGUUCUGAGCCAGAUGUUAAUAGAUUGUUUGGCGAGAAGAACGUAUAUUAUACAAUAUGGAAACAGUUUCAUUGAGGAUUGCUUUUCUCAUCAAGAAAGCGAAUGAUUUAUACAAAUCGAAAGUGAUGAGCUUGUGAUGAUUCACCUAAUAUGAAGUGCUGCCUAUAUUCAAUUGUGACAUGGAUACAUGAUUUCCAAAUCUUGUCCACAUAAAUCCAGUAUUCACAUAUAAAACCUGUAGCUGCCAUGAGAAAGAUAAGUACAAUUGACGUUUACAUAAUCUUCAGUAGUGAUAGAAAAGUCUUCACAUAUAAAACCUAAACCCAAAAGAUGCAUUAGUAAUAGAAAAGUCUAAUAUCUUGUUUGGUUUCA